rnacentral:rRNA from 1 species
ACUAGACUCCUACGGGAGGCAGCAGUGGGGAAUAUUGCACAAUGGGGGGAAACCCUGAUGCAGCAACGCCGCGUGAGUGAAGAAGUAUUUCGGUAUGUAAAGCUCUAUCAGCAGGGAAGAAAAUGACGGUACCUGAGUAAGAAGCCCCGGCUAACUACGUGCCAGCAGCCGCGGUAAUACGUAGGGGGCAAGCGUUAUCCGGAUUUACUGGGUGUAAAGGGAGCGUAGACGGCGAUACAAGUCUGAAGUGAAAGCCCGGGGCUUAACCCCGGAACUGCUUUGGAAACUGUGCAGCUAGAGUGCAGGAGAGGUAAGUGGAAUUCCUAGUGUAGCGGUGAAAUGCGGAGAUAUUAGGAGGAACACCAGUGGCGAAGGCGGCUUACUGGACUGUAACUGACGUUGAGGCUCGAAAGCGGGGGGAGCAGACAGGAUUAGAUACCCGUGUA